rnacentral:lncRNA from 1 species
AUGGAUUAAGAUUGUCGGGAAAUGGGAAUGCAAUACAAAGUAAUUAAUGACACAGUCUCAGUGUUUCACUUACACGUGAAGCAAACGAAACAAGAAGAAUCUUAAGAAAAAAACACUCACCAGAACGCAAGGUUCAAUCCCGGUUUACUACGUCAACCUCCAUUCCUCAAAGAGAUUGGAAACACGUCAACCUUCAUCUCCACCAGUCUCCAUCUCCACGAAUAAGAAUUCUGCGCCCAUUUGCACUAUUUGAAUCGAGUGGAAGCUUUUUAAGCGAAUGGCAACCCCAAACUUCCAAUUCUUUGAGACGUGGGAGAGGCAAGGGCUUCCAGAAAAUGCUCUUCAAAUUGCGCAGUCGCUCUAACCGAAGACGCUGGAGUUUUGCAAAAGGGCUGCUUAUUAUUCCCGUCAUCUCAGGAAUGUCAUCAAACUCUCCAGCACUGAUUAUUUCUUCCAUGUCAUCGCAAAGCCUUACGGAAAUAGACUUGAGGUUUGGAGCAAAAACGAGGAAUGUCAAGUGUUUCAAAUUUCUGCAACUGUCUACGGUAACUUCCUCUAGGCUGCGGAAAACAUAAGGUUGGCGAGAUUUUUGUACCAUAACUUUGCAGUCAAUCUUCAGUCCCCCAGACCAAUCACAAGAACGAAAGUAUAAUGUAUUGAGCUGCUCUAGAUCGGCUAAAUCUGCAACAUCAAUCGACUCCUCCCUAUCGAACUCAUCGAGCAUAAGAGCUUUGGUAGAACUUCGUAACUUCUGUGAGCUCAAAAAUGUUUGGUAAGCCUUAAAACUCCUGAAGCUGAUGUCCAGUACCUCUAAAAAUUUCAAACCGAGCAAAUCCUCUACUACAUUCUCAUACUUGAAGCAAAUCGCUCUGAAAAAUGGUCUAAUACCAAUACCAAACAUUCUCAACACACGUAACCUUGAAAAAUUAGAUAACAGUUGCUGUGGAACUUCAAAUAACUCGCGUGCCCAGUCCAAAUUCAAACAUUUAAGAUUUACCAACGCUUUUAACUCUUCGGGUAACUCUCGAACGCUUGUUUUUGAAAUAUCAAGGAGUUGUAGUGAAACCAACUUUGAGAUCCCCAUUGGUAACUGCUGUAGCGUUUCAUUAUCUGACAUCUUCAAAACUGUUAGACAAGGCAUAGACUGGAAGAAGCCACCGGUGAUCGUCCUCAACUUAAUAUCGUUAAGAAACAAAGUAAGAAGACGAGGGCAUGUAGGAACAAUUGGUAGAUUUUCAAUUGAAUUUGUCAUCAAUGAUAAUCUUCUCACCAUUUCCCAUCCUCUGACAUCUGCAGGUGCCUCCGUUAAUCCGGAACCUGCAUAAACCAAAAAGCCCUCCUUCUCCUUCUCAAUCUCACAAGUUAUCCACAAUGCCAUAUCGCGGAUGACGUCAUGCAUUUUUACUUGAUCAUCUUCUACCUCUUCCAAUAAACAUGCACGAACAAGAGUGGUCACGAUGUGGUAUCCUUGGUUUUGUGUGCCAAACUUGGCUGCAUCCAAAAACCCCUCGCAAAUCCAGCAAUCAAUCAAGUCUCUUUUAUAUAUAAUGUAAUCUUCUGGAUAUAAACAACAAUAUAAGAAACAAGAUCUGAUUGCAUCGUUUGGCAAGCAAUCAUAGCUGAAUUUUAAAAGAGGAUAUACCUCCUUUCCCAAACCCGCAAAUUCGGAAGCUGAUCUUCUUAAAACUUCAAUCGCAUAUCUCCAUUCUUCAGGAGUCUUUUUGUAGGCCAUGGCUCGACCAAUAGUAAUAAGCGCGAGCGGCAAUCCAUCGCACUCCUUUGCCACAGUUUGAGCUAGUUCAGGAAUACUAUGAUGACUCUCAAUAGUUUCUUCCCCAACCUUCUCUCGAAAUAGCUCCCAAGCAUCCCCAUCGGAUAAGCAUGCCACUUUGAACAUCCUACGAGCUUCCAUACCACCACAAACAUCAACGAAACGGGUUGUAAAUACCACUGCACUAUUUUUUGGGCUGUUACUACUACUAGGAAGAGGGACGCCUACCUUCUUUAGAUCAACCCGCUCCCAUAGAUCAUCCAACAACAAAGCAAACUUCUUCUUGCUUAAAGUCUCGAAGAUGUCCUCAGCUUUGUCUUCGAGACUUUUGUUCUUCCAUGAAUCAUUACAUAGACCUAUCUUUUUCCCGAUAGUUUCUUGAAUUUUUUCAAGCUGUAGGUCUUUGGACACCACAACCCAAAUCACAUAAUCAAAAUCUUUUGGAUUAUCAACAAAUUUAUUGUUGAUUUGGGUUAACAGAGUAGUUUUACCGACACCGCCCAUGCCAUAUAGGCCAAUUAUACCAGCUGCAGGUUCUUGUACAAGACAUCUCCAAACUUGUUCAAGUUGUGAUUGCAAGCCUACCACCGUUGGCUCAGUAGGUCUUUCAUCUGCCACAGAUUCUGGAUCUGGCACGGCCACCUCUUGAAAAACUGCUUCCCCCUUUAAGGCCUUCACAUCUCGCAGCCUUUUAACAACUUUUCUACCAAACUUGUAGCUUGACUUGCAGUUCCUGGAGCAGUAGCCUCCAAGACACAAUUUGUCAAUUUCCUGAGAGCCACCAUCUCUUCCCAUGAGUUCAUCAACUUCAGUUUUAAGAGUCUCCACCCUCGAAAGCCAAAGCUGCACUUGGUUCAGCCUCUUCAUUUUGUGUUGGUGUUCGGCAUUGAGGACCCUCGUCAUCACAUCGUUCUUUGCAGCGAUUAGUUGUUCCAAUUCAGUCGUCAAGGCAACAACAUUAUCUUUGAGGUCAGUUAUAUAUGCAGCUUUGCCAAGAGCGCAGUCUGGGCAACGAUUGAACAUUGCGCCAACAUCGCAAGAGAUUUGCAAAAUGUUACCCAUAAUGGAUCUCACUUGUAUGUAUGAAUUCAACCAAGAGAGAAACAAAGGAAUUUAACUUCACCAGUUUGAUGAACAGAAGCUGCUGUCGCGGAUUAAUUGAGAUAGAACAUUAGUUAUAUCCAAUAUUCAUCAUUUUUGGUAAACACAAGAGAAUGAAGAAAAAGAAGAAGAAAACAAAAGAAAAAGAGGCGAUCAUGAUCGGCCACCACAUAUUACAUUCAUGUAUGAUAAUCGGCCACCACAUAACUUAUCCAAUAUUCAUCAUUUUUGGUCCCACACCAUGUGCUUGACAGUUGUUUCGAUUUUAUCUCUUUUUAUUCCCCCCUUUCUUUCUUUCUUUCUUUUUGAUCAGCAUUUUUGUCUUGAUUCUUGAAUAGUUGAAUAUGUAUGUGUGUGCGGGCAUGUAAUAUAUAGUACUUAGAUUUUGUUUAAUUUUCUAUUGUUAACUUGAUUAUUUGUGGCAUUAAUUUAAUAUGAUUUACAUCUUUUUGGUUGUAGUGUUGAUGAGGUUACUUUAUAUGAUGACCCAAUUUUUUUUUUUUUUUGGUCUUCAUUUGUUUAAUUAUGAGAAAAAUAAAAUAGUAAUAAGAUAGGUCAAUUCGGGAAAACAAUUAAUGAACUAAUGUAGUAUAUCUCAUCUCACUCCCCUAGCAUAUCAAAAAUUUCCAAAAUUUGUCUUCAAUCGAUUAAACAUAAAUUUCAAAAUUCUUUAAAAAAAAAAAAAGCCAAUACCGAUCCUUUAAAGUUUAAAACAUCCAAAAAGGGAAAAAAAAAAUUCAUCUAUUAGCAUAUGGUAAAAGCAUAAUUCGACUAAAGUUGGGACAUGGCAUGUGGUAGACAUGUGGAUUGAUUGCAUAUGUUAUUUGAAUCGUUGUAUCAUCAGCUUUGCAUUAUUAAUAAGUUUUUUUUUUUCACCCAAAUUCUUCCAAGAAUUAUGCGUAUAUUUUUUAGCAUAAUUGUUGGCUGAUCAGAAACUCUCGAAAGUUGGCCUAUAAUUUAGAUUAAACCAACAAUUAACAUGAGAAGUUAGGCUGGCAGGACAAUGGGAACCAACUCAAAUCUGGUUCCAUUAGCAAGUAGCAGCCAAAUUCCGAGAUUUUCAACAAUUUUGAACCAAUCCCAAAGGAGAUUUAGUUUACUAAACAAGAUUUCUCUUUGUCACUAACCGUGCAUGCCGCUUCUUAAUAAUUAAGAUCUACAUAAAUGACUUUUAAUUUUGUAUGAUGAUCUCUUCCUCUUUGGAACAGAUACUUAAAUUUUAUUCAUCGUGACUGUGCUGAUAAAAAUCAAUAGUAAUCAAUCUUGUAUUUAAGUACACUCAACCAAUUAUGUUUUCUUACAUAAUUGUUUAGAAAUAAAGAACUAUAAUUACCUCCAAAAUCAAGCAAAUAAUAACCAAUAUGUUAUAUUUUUUAAUUGAUUUUUUCCCCUUCAAAUAAUGGAUUACUAUCGGUUUGGCAUAUGGUAAAAGCGUAGUCGCAACAAAUAGAUUCUUGAAAGAGUGGUGCUAUUGGCACCUUCUUAAAACUCAAUGAAACCCCAUUUUCAUGGUUAUAGCUUUAUUCUUAGUUAAAAUUACAUAACAGGACAAAAGAAAUUUAAUUAAAAUUAAAAUUUAAUUUCUUUUUGUUACUAAUUCUUCAAACCCAAUAAAUUAUUUUAUUAGGAUUUUUGUUAUUUUUGUCUUUAAUUUUUUUUUUGUAUGUAAAAUAAGUGCCCACUUGGUGAAGAAAAUCCAAUAAUUUGAUAAAAAUCUGAUAAAUUACUUGGACCUUUUUUUUCUUAAUUAUUUCUAAAAUCAUUUUGGAACUAAAAAAAAAUUGAAUCCCAUAUAUAUUAGAUACUGAAAAUAAAGAGUUAAUGAUGUGUGGGUAUGAACUGCGAAGAGUCAAAAAGAAAAUACGUACAUGGAUUGGGGUUUAAUAAUUUUGUAUUUGUAAUUUUAUGUAAUUUUCUGUUGUGAAAGAGCUGUUAAUGUGAAAACGGGGUUUCAUAAGAAUAUUGAGGGGGUGCCAAUAGUAUUACUCUUCUUGAAAAUCAUAUGAGAAAGACAAACAGCCCAAAAACAAAGUGCCUAUAUCUUUAAAUUUAUUAUAGAGUAGUCAUUUUUAUUAUAUUUUUUUAAAUUGCUCUACCUUUUUUUUUUUUCAAAACCUUAACUAAAAUAUUAAAAUUGUGAAAAUUAGGGAUCUGCUCAGGAUGAUAUUCUGAGUCCCAUUUUCAUUUUCAUUUACUAAAAAUAAGUUGAACAACUGUUCGGUAUAAUAUUCUAAUAAAAUGAAUUAUGAAAUAAAAAAAUACAGAUUUUACUUUUGUUUACUCAAAAAGUUGAAGAACGACAUUCUUAUGGUUUUGUUGAAUUUCAAGAAUGGAAGCUAUUCUCUCAUCUUUAUCUUAGAUUAGCGUCCAUGGUAAUUAAAAUGGUUUUUGUAUCAAAUUGAUAAGAUUGAAACAUCUAAUGCUGCAAUGGCUUUUGUGAUUAUUUUAAAUUUGAAGUUAAAAUUUGAUAAAAAUAAUAAGUUUUAUUGAGCAGAAGAUGAGUGGAAGGACUUUUUCUUUGAUUUUUAGCCGAACAAAAAGACAAAAUAAAAUGUUCAAAGACUUUAAAAAAAAAAUGUCGUCAUAUUUUGCUUGUACCAAUGAAACAGCAGUUGUGAAAAAGGAUUAAAAUAAUAUUUUCAAAUGAGAUUUUUCUCUAUACCUUAUCAUACCUUUUAUUUGAAUAUCUUUUUUUAUAUAUAAGUUUAUGAUUUCAUUUAUCAGAUGCUCUAUAAUAUAUUUCAUUUACUGAAAAUUUUUAUUAUUAAAUGUAAUGAACAAUUUAAUUUUUUUAUAAGUGUUUACUGUGUGAUACCAAAAAAUAAAUAAACUCUAAAUAAUCCAUUGACAUAAAUAUAAACUAUAUGUUUAAGUUAAAAAAAAAAAGUUUCAAUCCAAUGCUACCGAACAAGUAUUACAGUUUUUAUAUUUAAAUAUAAGUUUCAAAAACUCAAACUGAACACAUAUUUAUAUUUAGAAUACCGGUUUCAAAAACAUCAUUUUUAUUUUUGUUUUUGUUCUAUAAAAACAUCAAUUGACAAUAAUAAAGACAAAGAAUUGAAAAUUUUAAUAAGAAUUAAUCUAACUACUCUCUUUAAAAGGAAAAAAAGAAAAAAGAAAAUAUCUAACUACACUCACUUUCUAAAAUAUAUAAAUACAUAUAAUUACACUAAAACCCCUAUAGAUUUUUAUUUUACCAAACAAUUAUGUGAUUAAUAUUUAUUUAUAAAAUAUAACAAUUAUGUGAUUAAUAUAAUAUUAAUUUUAUAAUCUCAACUCAAUGGUCAUAUCAAGAGCAUAUUUGAUUAUUUUAUUUUCAAUCUAUAAUUGAGACAUCACACCCUGGAGUUAAAGCGGUUGUUAUCAUUUUGUUUUCUGAUUUAAUUUCUAUUUUAAAAAUAAUUUUAGACCCCGUGAGCAAUCCAACGAAUGAUUUGCGAGUUUGGAGGAGUCCAUUCAUAUGGGGCCCACUGGUCGUUUGAUGAUUGAUUAUGUCACAUGAUUCCUGCCACAUACGAUUAUUAUCCACCCUUUAUCUCCUUUUUUUUCUUUAAUAAAUAAUCCUCUUUACUCAUUUCACUUCCAAUUUCAUGUUCAUGCCCUUACACUAUUGAUUUAUCUAUUUUUUAUUUUAGACAUUUUUUUUGUUACUCUUCCUCAUGUUAUUGUCCCUUUCUUUUUCUUUUCCUUAGCAGUAAUGUUCCAAAUUAAAUCGAGAAACAAAGCUAUAAAUGAUAGAACUUAUUAGUUCGAUAAUUUAUAAACUCGCAAUAGAUGGUACUCAUUUUCAUUCCUAGAUGAAUGCAACACGUCCGCGUACAGAAUACGUCGAAGUUUGGGAAGAACGUGGCCCUAAGACAUUUUUAGUAAGAUUAGGAGUUUAACUGAUAUUUAAUUCCUUUAAAACGUGAAGUUUACAUUUUGCACCCUUUGAAUUUACAGUUUCUUAUGUUUGGCAUCUCAAUUUGGCUUCUCUCUAAUAUGGUCCACAUUAUACCAAAAUUAUAUUUCCACCACUAAAUGUGACAGUACUGAAAAACUAUUUGAAGUCGGAAAGUUAGUGAAUUUUGAUUUAUUUUUUAGGAUAUUUUUAAAGUAUUAUAUAGACGAAAAUUAACUAUCUACCUAACUAAUCAAGCGAGCAAUUUAAACUUUAGACCUCUUUUACAUCAACGGGUUAUGUUUGGCUGACUCAAUUUGUCAAUAACUAGAUAGAUGUUAUGACAGACUCAAUUUGGGGCAGAUUCUAGGGUAAGAAAACUGAAAAUGCCUAUUUUCGAAGGUGAGGAUGCAUAUGGAUGGGUGUAUAGGGUAGAGCACUAUUUCGCCAUCAAUGGACUCUAAGAAAGGGAAAAAUUGAUGGCGGCGGCAUUAUGUUUGGAGGAAAAGGCCUUUGCGCGGUUUCAAUGGCGAGAACAACGACAAUCGUUGAGGUCAUGGGGUGAGUCUAAAGAUCGGCUAUUGGAGAGGUUUCAGGGCACUCAAGACGGAGAUUUGCAUGAACAAUUUUUUACUCUGACCCAAGAUAGAACGGUUAUGGAGUACAAGGAGAAGUUUGAGGUGCUAUCAGGGCGUUUAUGGGGAAUUCCAAAGGCGGUAUUGGAAGGGAAUUUUAUGAAGGGACUGAAGCCAGAUAUCCGAGCCUCGCUACACUUGCUAAGGCCGAGAGGGCUAGGGGAGUUAAUGGAGUUGGCACAAAUGAUUGAGGAUAAGAACACAGUAGAACGGGUUAAUAGGAGCAAUUCAGUCAAUUUUUCAUACCAAAACAGCUCGCCAUUGGUAGGACAAAAAACCCAGACUUUGGGGUUUCAACAAGAGUUCCAAAGUACACCACUAGGAGGCCAGAAAAUGCAAAUGGUGGAUUUACAGAGAGAUUCCCAAAGGGAUUGGGAUAGUGGGGCACGACUCGGGGUGACUUUUGAACGCCUCAUGGAGACAGAGAUUCAGGAUAAGAGGGCGAAGGGGUUGUGUUUUCGAUGUGAUGAGAAAUUUUCACUAGGGCAUCGAUGUAAGGAUAAAUCACUACAAGUCCUGACUUUGUGUGAUGAGGAAGAAGGCCGGAAAGAAGCCGAAGAAGAAGCCGCAACAGUUUCCUAGAUUUCACCUUGAGGACAAGGUGUCUUUUUGGGAGGGGAGUAAUGUUUGACCAAUGAAAAUUUAAGUGCAAUUAUAAAGAGGCAGGGGCACUUUAGUAAUCUUAGGGGCGGGGGGCAGUUUAGUAAUUUUAUUAUUAAUUAGGGUUCAGGUAUAAAUAAGAGAUUAUGGAGUCACCUAAAAUUUAUGUUGAAUUUUAUCUAGUGUUAAGAAGAGUUAGGAGCUUUGGGAGAGAUUGACCUACCUCUCGAAUUGUAGGUCAAGAUUAUUAUUUAUUUUUAUUAAUCAAUAAAAAAAAUCAGCCCUAAUUCACCCCUAAGUCCUGCCAUAACGGAAUUUGUGUUAUUGACCUCUUCUUUUUUCCCUUUUCCUUCUUGUAACAACUUCUUUAUGAAACAUGUCUCUGCGUCUGGCUCUUGUCUUACUAUGAACCUGCACAGGAGUACUUGGCAACUACUAGAACCCUGCCACGACUAAUAGAUGUUGUUAAGAGUUCCACAAAGGAGAAGGUGAGAUCUGGUUUCUUGGUAGUAUUUAAUUUUAGCAAAGGCUCACUGCUGCACAAGAUGAGUCUCAUCCACUUGAAUACUAUUAACUUGUUAUACAUACGUAUAUUUAAAUAUAUAUAUAUAUAUUGGCUUGUGGUAUAAGUAGGCUAUUUUCUUUUCCAAAAGAAUACGUUCUUUUGUUCAUAUGGUUAUUAAGAUAUGCAUAUCCUGCUAGGUUGUCAGGGUAGUGGUCUUGAUCCUUAGAAACUUGCUUCCCAAAGGUAAUUUUGCUGCUGAAAUGAUAGACCUUGGGCUACCUCAAGUUGUUCAAAGUUUAAAAGCGCAAGCAUGGAGUGAUGAGGUAAGAGAAGUUGCUCGCUGUUUAGUUUUUCUUUUUCGGCUGAUUGCAUAAUUAUUUAGUUAAUAGAUCGAGUAAAAUUAAGGGAGUUGAUGGCGCUGUUUGCUACUGAUUGGUGCAUUUGGUGAUCAUUUUAUAUGGAUUAAAAAUUUACUGCGGGUUCUGUUAAGUAUGGUGUGGUAGAAUAGUCAGUUGCUUGUGUGAUGACAAAAACUACUGUUAUUUUUGUUCAUUAUAUGAAUAUUAGUGUUGUUUUGGUGCAUAAUUGAUUAUGAUACCAUUACGCCCUAUUAUUCCUUUGUUCAGCAUGGAAUAAUUUUGUUUCAAUCCACACUUUGAUUGAAGCUCUGGCCGGCGAAAGUGCUGACUACUAUUGCACGGACCUACACUAUCUUUGACAACUUUAAGACAUUUAUCCUAGGACAAUGUUACCUCUAAUGGCUGACAAAUGCCUGCUUUAUUUAAUUCUCAAGCACCUGUCAUCUGAGCAAUGUUAACUCAAUUAAUUGUGCCUUUUUUAUUACCACAUAUUUUCUUUGGCCUUGAACCAUUCAAUUUUGCCAAGGCUUGACUCUUUUUCCUCAUGAUGAACUGAAGCUGUAUACUGAUUUUGUGGAAUCUUGGUAUCCAACACAAAAUGAAGAUUUCAGCCUUCAAAUUUAUAAUGCACGAUAUUAGAUUGAGUUUGGGUGGCUCCUGAAUAAUAUGCCAAAAAGAAUUGAGUCUUGACCACCAUUGCUGAAUUUUGUUUAACCUUUAACACAAUGAUGACUUCAUCUUGCCACAUUUACAUAUAAUAGAUUUCAAUAUCUUCUUAGGAUUUACUAGAGGGUCUGAAUCAACUGGAAGAAGGUUUGAAGGAUAAUAUCAAGAGAUUGAGUUCUUUUGACAAGUACAAGCAAGAAGUCCUCCUUGGCCAUCUCGACUGGUCCCCUAUGCACAAAGAUCCCCUAUUCUGGCGUGAUAAUAUCACAAACUUUGAAGAAAAUGAUUUCCAGGUAUUUCUUUUCCCUAUGGACGGUGUUUCUAGUUUUUAUUUUUCAUUUUUUCUGCUUUCACCGCACUGAAUGACUCCUGCUAAUAUCUGUAUCGUCUCGUUCAGCAUCAUUUUGUAUAAAUACCUACAAAGUUUCUGUAAUACUAAUGGAUAAUCUUCUCUCUCAGAUUCUAAGGGUCCUCUUAAACAAUUUUGGAUACAUCCAGUGAUCCACGAGCUCUUGCUGUCGCUUGCUUUGAUCUCUUACAGUUUAUCCAGUACCAUUCAGCUGGGCGGGUCAUUGUGACAGACCUCAAAGCCAAGGAACGGGUGAUGAAAUUGAUGAACCAUGAGAAUACCGAGGUUACCAAGAGCGCCUUACUCUGCAUCCAAAAGCUUUUCCUAGGCGCAAAGUACGCGAGCUUUUUGCAGGCCUGAAUUUUCUUUCCAUGGGGUCCAGUAUUGUUUACAAAGGAAAUGCUUGUAAUGAUUUGAUUCCAGUUUGGCUGUGGUUAGGUUGUUUAUUUAUUUAUCAAUCAUUGGAGGAAUUUAUGAAUCAGGGGAACUCGUCUGUUGGAUUUUUUAAAGUACUGUGAAGAAUUAGUUGAUUUUUUACCAUAUUUUGGAAAUUUAUUUUGUUUUUGAGAUGAGGAAUAAAUUGAUACCAUCUGUACUGACCUUUGAUAUGAAAACUACUCGAGCGCAUGAUAUAUAUCUGUUUUUGUUCAUUUCUGUAUCUUGCUGCUGACUGAAGCUGGAUUUUCAAGCUCGUUAUUAUCAUCUAUUCUUUUGAAGUUGCAAAAUGAAUUCUCAAUAUUUUCAGGGGAAAUGCUUAUAAUUAGCGCGGAAUUAUACAUUGAUUGUGUACUGUAUACUUCCAAAAAGGCAAUUUAUUUCCAUUGAUUUGAGUAAACUAAAUCUCCGUGAUGGUAACACUUAUUUAAUCACUAAUUAAAGAAUUCUUUGAAAAUUUGAUGAUUGUUGUUGAAAACAUUUACUAAUUGUAAAUGCGUUAAAAAUUAAUACAAUAUUGAGAAUUCAAACAGCUCAUCUUCUUGCUGCUUUCACCCUUCCUUCUUCGUUUGCCAUCGUCACGACGACCAAAAAAGGUACCCACCCCACUCCCUCUUUUGAUCAUCAUUUCGCAUACACUUUUCUUCAAUUUAAUUUUUUUAUUUUUUUUCUCAUGUACCCUUGUGAUUCUUUUGCAUUCUUUAUUGGAUGUUAUUAAUUAUUAUAAAAAAAAUUCUAAAAAAUAAAUAAAAUUCACGGCAGCUAGGAGUUGAACGAAACUCUUGAGUCCAGUCCUGUUUAGUAGGAUUCUUUGAUUUACAAAGCAUCGAGUAAUCAGAUUUGCUGGGCAUUCAUUUUGCUUUGUUAUGUUUCCAUGUAUCAAUUUUCAGUUCAUACCAAAUCUACUUUUUGAGGUUCAUUAUUCAUUUCCUUUAAUUCUUCGUCAUUGGGUUUCUACUGCAUUGUAAUGCUCCACACAAGGUUAGACUCCUUGCAAGGCACUUCUAUUCUAUGCUAGCUUUUCAUAUCACGCUUUUCAUAACAUGAGUUGGACUGAGUGUUGUGCGCGGAAUGCGGAAUCAAGCGCACCAAAUAAUUACUGAAAAAUAAAGGACACAAGAAUUUACGUGGUUCGGUAAUUAAACCUACAUCCACGGAGGCAAGAAAGAAUAAUUGUUUAUUUAACAAUUAAUAGAGUACAAUAUUUGAGUAACGAAUCUCACUUCCCAGAAACCCAAAUAUACCCAGUACUCUCUCACUCUGCAGGAAAGAUAAAUUCCCCAGACACACUUCUCUCACUUCUCUCAAAGCUUAGAAACUUAUAAGCUUAACAAUUUUGGGAUGAUUUCAAAUGAAUGAAAUCCUUAGCUAUUUAUAGGAGAAAUGAAUUACUAUGCUAAGAAUAAAAUAAUUAAAAAUAUAAUUUUUAAUUAUUAUUAUUUUUCAAUUUUUCAACAAAUUGUUGGUGCACCAACAAUUUGUUGACUUCAACAAAUUUGCACCAACAAUUUGUUGACUUCAACAAAUCUCCACCUCGGCGAAAAUUUAUCCAAAUCUGAGCCGAUUGACAAUAAUCCGCCAAACUUCAUCCCUCACAUGAUCCUCAAAAGGAUCAACAUUGGCUGCAUCUAUUCGACUGCCUACGUACCCCAAGGUUGGGAUCAAGCCUGCCGUAGUUCCAAAAAUUCUCCAAACUCAACGCAUUCGAAGAAUUAAUUUCAAUCCGUAUAAAGAUUUACUCAAUCUGCACACACGAUUUUCCUUUCCAGCAACUUUGAAACCACAAGACUGAAUCAUAUAGCUUUCCUCCUCCAAAUCUCCAUGUAAGAAUGCCGUCUUCACAUCCAACUGAGUCAACUCUAACUCGUAUUCUGUAACUAAGGCAAGUAGGAUACGAAUGGAAGUAUGUUUUACAACUGGAGAGAAAACUUCAUUGUAGUCAAUACCUUCCUUUUGAGCAAAACCUUUUGCCACGAGCCUUGCCUUGUAUCGAGGAGUUGUUUGAUUCGGAGAUCCUUGCUUUUUAGUGUAGACCCAUUUAUUGCCAAUAGCCCUUUUCCCCUUUGGUAACUUUACAAGUUCCUCCAUGGCUAACUUCCACUGAUCACUUUCACCGCUGCGUAAUGCUUUACCGAAAGUGUUGGGGAUGUCAUCAUCAAUAACUGGAAGUGCAUAGGCUACCACCAUAUCUUUAGUAAGCCAUCCGGGUUUCUUUAUCUCUCUUCUUGGCCUCCUUGUUGCUAUAAAAUCAUCAUUAUCUACAUCAUCAAUUGUUUCUUCAUUUUGUGGGACAUCAGAAGAAACAACCUCUUCUUCAACUCUAGGUGUCACAUCCAUAGUUGAACCAUUCAUUGAUGUAGAACUAACUGGUACAUAUGGAGUUGCAUCAAAUUCCACCCGCUGCAAUACCUCUGUGGUCUUGUUCUCCACCUGCUGAGAACUUGAAGCUUUUAUCAUUGAAACUUCAUCAAAUGUGACAUCUCUACUACACACAAACUUUUUAUCUUCGAGAUCCCAAAGCUUGAAACCCUUUACUCCACCUUUGAAUCCCAUAAAGAUAGCUUUUCUAGCACGAGAAUCCAGUUUACCAUCUUUGACAUGAUAACAAGCUGGACACCCGAAUAUACGAAGGGAAUCAUAGUCUUGUGCAUGCUUUCCAGACCACAUUUCCAUAGGGGUUUUACCUCCAAUUGCAGCAGAAGGCAACCGGUUUACCAAGUGACUUGCGUAGCUCACAGCUUCAGCCCAAAACUUUUUAUCUAAACCAGCAUUAGAUAACAUACAUCGUACCUUCUCCAGUAAAGUACGAUUCAUACGCUCAACCACACCGUUCUGUUGCGGAGUAUGUCUCACCGUGAAAUGUCUUUUAAUACCCUCGUUCUGGCAUACUUGCAAGAAUGGAUCAGAAGUAUAUUCACCCUCAUUAUCAGAUCGUAAUACUUUGAUCUUUCUGCCAGUUUGAGUCUCCACCAAUUUCUUCCACUUCACGAAAAUCUCUAGAACCUCAUCCUUUGCUCGCAUGGUGUACACCCAUACACGUCUAGAGAAAUCAUCAACAAAUAUAACAAAAUAAUGGCUUCCACCAAUUGAUGCAGUCUUGGUUGGUCCCCAUACAUCACUAUAAACAUAUUCAAGGAUCUCACGAGUAUCGUGAUUAGCUGUACCAAACUUGACCCUUGUUUUCUUGCCUACUACACAAUGCUUACAGAAAUUUAAUUUACAGGUUUUGGUACCUUUUAAGAGUCCAUGCCUCAUCAGAGUUUGCAAAGACUUCUCUCCUGCAUGUCUCAAUCGUACAUGCCAUAGCUUGGUGGUGUCACUGUGCGCCUCAACAACAUUUGCUUCAUCAGUUGUACCUCCCUUCAAAUAGUACAGAUUGUGACGCCGAACCCCUUGCAGAAUCACCAUAGCCCCAUGUGUAAACUUCAUUGUGCCAUCUUCAAUGGUAACUUUGUAACCUUUAGCUUCCAAAGCACCCACAGAAAUUAGAUUUUUCUUUAUCUCUGGAACAAAUCUAACCUCUUUGAGUUCUCUGACCAUUCCAUCAAACAUUUUGAGCCGAAUUGUUCCUAUCCCCAUUGUGCGACAAGGUUGAUUAUUCCCCAUCAUAACUGCACCAGAUUCCAGAUUACGAAAAUCCGUAAACCAUUCCUUAAUAGGAUACAAAUGAUAGGUUGCUCCUGUAUCAAGUAUCCACUCACUCGAACUAGCCACAUAUGCUGCAGGAGUAAUACUUAGUGAAUAAUCAGAGUUCUCAUCUUUCCGUGCCAUGUUUGCUGCUGCUGGUUUCUUCCCAUCUCUCUUUUGAGCCUUUGGACAAUCUUUUCUCCAAUGGCCAUUUUCAUGACAAAAGGCACACUCAUCUCGAGCUAUAUUUCUGCUUCUCGAUUUGGAUCGAGAAUUCUUUCCACCACGCUUCUUUUGUUUCUCUAUCGCCCAAUCUCUGCUCACCAAAGCUUCAGACGAUGCUCGUUCAGAAUUUUUAUCAUUAUUCCGAAUCUCCAAACUAGUCAAUGCUGUGCAAACAUCUUUAAAGACGAUCACACUCUUCCCAUAUAUCAAAGUAGUCACAAAAUGGCUAUAUUCCUCUGGUAGUGAGUGUAACAGAAUCAUAGCCUUGACUUCAUCUUUAAUAUCUUCAUCAAGAUUCUUCAAAUCAGCAAGUAACUUUUCAAAUCUUGAAACAUGAUCGUGCAUUGACACCCCAGACUUCAUUCGAAAGCCAUAUACUUGGAUCAUUGCAUGAAGACGAUUUUCAGGACUUUUCACCAGGUACUUCUCUUCCAAUGUACGCCACAAAGUCACUGCACACUCCUCAUCUUUCACCAAGUAUUUCACCUCCUUGGUCAAACAAGAUCUGAUCUGACCACAGGCUUUCUCGUUCAUACGAUCCCAAAUUUCUUCAUCAUACAAGUGUCUUUUAUUUUUCAGGACAACAUCGAGAUCGAUUUGAAUAAGGGCAUCCAUAACUUCGCGCCUCCACAUGCCGAAGUUGAUUUUCCCAUCAAACUUUUCAACAUCGAUCUUCUGGCCUCCUAUAACAGGUGCUGAAUAGCGAUUUGACAAAUCUCGCCUCCCACCUGAAGUGUCUCCUGAAAUAGUCUCGGUAGAUCUCUCCCCAAUUCUGGAAGUUUCACCUUCUACCAUUUUUUCAACGAACUAUUUCCACUUGAAAAACAGCCUCUAUGAUGUUAAUUUCGCGUGAAUAAAUGCACCAGGAAAGUUCCCAGGAAACUGGACGGGAACUCGGUCCCAAUUAAAAACCAGAAUCCUUAGACUCUUAUCGCCUUUGUUGACAGAACUUUCCUAGACAUGCAAAAAUACACACUACUUACAAUAGACUGUCUCCCAAGUACAAAUGGCCGUCUCCACCGUAUUCGUGAACAGUACCGUAUGUGAACAGUACCGUAUACGGGAAUAGUACCGUAUACGUGAACAGUACCGUAUCCCCCCAAGUACGAACCGUUGGCUCUGAUACCACUUGUUGUGCGCGGAAUGCGGAAUCAAGCGCACCAAAUAAUUACUGAAAAAUAAAGGACACAAGAAUUUACGUGGUUCGGUAAUUAAACCUACAUCCACGGAGGCAAGAAAGAAUAAUUGUUUAUUUAACAAUUAAUAGAGUACAAUAUUUGAGUAACGAAUCUCACUUCCUAGAAACCCAAAUAUACCCAGUACUCUCUCACUCUGCAGGAAAGAUAAAUUCCCCAGACACACUUCUCUCACUUCUCUCAAAGCUUAGAAACUUAUAAGCUUAACAAUUUUGGGAUGAUUUCAAAUGAAUGAAAUCCUUAGCUAUUUAUAGGAGAAAUGAAUUACUAUGCUAAGAAUAAAAUAAUUAAAAAUAUAAUUUUUAAUUAUUAUUAUUUUUCAAUUUUUCAACAAAUUGUUGGUGCACCAACAAUUUGUUGACUUCAACAAAUUUGCACCAACAAUUUGUUGACUUCAACACUGAGCUCAGUCAGUUGAUGCUCCAUGUUUUUGAUUCAUUGAAGGUACUAUGAAUUGGGACCUGAUGAUCCACCGUAUGCUGCCAAGUUUUACGACUGCUGCGGGGCCGAGGAUGCUGAUGCCUCUGGUUGUACCACUGGCUUCCAUGUCUCUUAUGAUGAUGAUUAACAUAAUUUUUACCUCCUAAUCACCUGUAACUAUAGAUUAAAUUUGUAGAUAUCUCCGUGUCUCCUCCUGUGACCCACAUCAUUUCCACUGUUCUAUCACUGUAUAAUUCAGGUCUUUCAUCAGUUAAUCUCUUCAUUUCUGAACAUUUUUUUUUUCCUGGGGUUGAUCUGGCAUGAAUUCGACAUGUGCUGCUAUGGCCAACUUUCGAGGGAUGAUGGUAAAUCUUAACCCUUUUGCAUAAACUUCUGGAAUUAGUUGGUCUGGGGAAUUGGAAGAGAAUAUACUGGAAGCCAUUGCCUUCCCACAUCUUAAGUAAAGAGUAAUGCUACUUUGACAGAAAUAGGUUUACAAAAUUUUGUCAUACUUAUGAAAUACUAAAUUACCUUUUAGUUUAUUUACAGAUAGCGAAUUGGGCUUUUUACAUAUUUUUGUAAAACUACUGGACAACUGAGCUAAAAUUAUCAAUUUUAUUUUGUAUUAGUAAAUAAUCAAAGAAUCAACCUAAACUUAUAUUCAGGAAAGAAAUAACUACAGAGGACAAAAAAUUAAUGAGGCGAUUGAAAAUUACGCCAAAAUUAAUAGUAAGGCAUUUGAGAUUGCAGUAGAACUUCUCAAUAAUCAUAUUAUUAGGAUCAAUUCAUUUUGUUGCUAUAAGGAGGUUAAAACUUUGUAGAGGUUUAGUUCAAAAUUACUAUCUUGACUUCAUUAUUCUUAGUGUAAGUAAGAUAAUUAAUAAUUAAUUAAUGGAGCGUGUCAAUUGUAUGAAGCUUCAAACAUGCUUGAAUAUUUAAAAAUAUUUUGUCUUCAACAAGAAGGUGUUUAUAUUAUCGAAUUAUUUUUGCAAUAUACAAAUAAUUAUUAUUAUGUGGAGGCAAUUUCAAAGAUGUGAUAACAAUUUUAAAGAAUAAAUCAUUAUCUCAAACAACUUUUAAAAAAUAUAUUUUUUUAUACUAAAUCUUUUAAUGUAACAAAUAUGUUUUGCAAUACACAUAUAAUUAUUAUUAUGUGGAGGCAAGUUACUAAAGUCGGGAUCUAAAACACUUAUUACAAUUAGAGUUAAUUCUUAUUUAUAAUUUACCAAAAUUAAAGUUAAAAUUUUUUUAUGACUAUAAAAGAGUUAUUUCUAUAUAGAUUAUCACUAUAAAUAUAGAGUAUCACUAUAAAAAAGUUUUACGAUCAAUCUUCCGUCAUAAUAAGUAAAAGAAUGACAAGUUUUGAGUCUCAAAUAAAUUCUAUAAAACACAACCAUGGAUUAAGAUGGUCGGGAAAUGGGAAUGCAAUACAAAGUAAUUAAUGAUACAGUCACAGUGUUUCACUUACACGUGAAGCAAGCGAAACAAGAAGAAUCUUAAGAAAAAAAACACUCACCAGAACGCAAGGUUCAAUCCCGGUUUACUACGUCGACCUCCAUUCCUCAAAGAUGUUGGAAACAGAGACGAAAAGCAUUUUGAGUGGCUUCAUCCUCCCAUUGAAGCCUUCUCCACCAGUCUUCAUGUCCACGAAUAAGAAUUCUGCGCCCAUUUGCACUAUUUGAAUCGAGUGGAAGCUUUUUAAGCGAAUCGCAACCCCUAACUUCCAAUUCUUUCAGACGUGGGAGAGGCAAGGGCUUCCAGUAAAUGCUCUUCAAACAGCCCAGUCCCUCUAACCGAAGACGCUGGAGUUUUGCAAAAGGGCUGCUUAUUAUUCCCGUCAUCUCAGGAAUGUCAUCAAACUCUCCAGCACUGAUUAUUUCUUCCAUGUCAUCGCAAUGGCUUACGGAAAUAGACUUGAGGUUUGGAGCAAAAACGAGGAAUGUCAAGUGUUUCAAAUUUCUGCAAAACCUUACGGUAACUUCCUCAAGGCUGCGGAAAACAUAAG